AAAGUUGGUAAGCUGUCCUUAACUUUACAAGUUAUAUGUGUUUUCUGACCAAUUCAGAAUACUAUCAAUCCCAGUGGAAGAAAUAAAAUUGUGUCCAAAUCAUGGCAGAGUCGGAAAAUUCUAAAACUACAUUGAAGAACAUCACGUCAUCUCUGCAAAAGAUUGUAGAAUGUUCAGUGUGUCUGGACACAAUCCAAAUUCCAUUUAAGACAUGCAGCAGAGGCCAUGGGGUUUGUAACUGCUGCUGCGAAAAGUUAAAGAAUUGCCCGACUUGCGAAGGUCCAUUUACACACCGUGUGUUUAGAUCCUGUAAGUUUAAACAACUUUCUGGAAGCCCUUCCUCGUCAGUGUAAGUACCAUGAAGAUGGUUGUGAAGACAUUCUGAAGCCCGGGAGUGACCAUGAAGACUUUUGUGGCUUCAGACCUGCAGAGUGUAGGCAAAGCGAUUGCAACACUGUGACUCCUUUGAUAAAACUGAUGGAUCACUAUGAGAAAGAACAUUGUAAUAAAAUUUUUAAGUACGGAUCAAAGUCAUCUAUGUUGUUUACUUUGAAAAACUUUAAUCCUAAAAAUUACCAUAUAGAACAUCUUCUCAUCUUUAAGUUUGACAAGGUAUUCUGGAUUACCCUAACUAAUAAUUUAAACCAGGAACAUUUUAAAUUUACUUUUGAAGCAACUCCAAUUGGCAAGUUGGAAAAUGAAUAUAUUUUAAGAGUUAAGAUUGAAAAAAAAAUGAGUAUUUAUAUGUUUCUACAUUAAAGGCUUCUGUUGUAGAGUGUUGUGAAAAGGGUUGGAAAAGUAACACAGAUGAUGAAAAUCAUUGCAUGAAGAUUCCACAAUGUGCCUUAUAUAAGGUUAUGCAUGAAGGAAAUUUUAACUAUGAGUUAACAUUUUUUGAAUGCAAGGAGUAAAAUCUUCUGAGGUACAUUUCAUUAAAUCUGACAUAAAACUUGUUCAAAUUUUGUUUCAAUGUUUAAGCUUUGUGUGUAUGGAGUUUGACAUUCCAGUUUUUCCUCACUCAGCCGGGUAGAAUACCAGCCUCAUCAAUCAGGAUAAAACUUGAACAAUCUGUUAUGUUAUGUAUUUGAUUAGAUUCUUAAGGAUGUGGUUAAAAUGUUAACCUUCUCUGUGAACAGGUAAUAGGUAAGCUGUAAUUGUUGAGUAUCUAAUAGUACCUUGCGAUAAUUAGUGAAUAAAAAAAUGGCGUAACCUCAACUUUCAAAGUUAAAGGUAACUUAUGACGCAAAACUGUUGUUCCUGUAUUGUAUGGUAAAAAGCUACACCAUUUUGAAUCUUCAGAUUUUUGCGGGGAGGGAGGAUUAAAGCUGAAAAAUUUUUAGUUUUAGAUUUUUUUUAAAUUGAUAACUUUUUGGUUUAAUGCAAAACAUGUCAUUUACAAAAAUAAUCUACAACACAUUUUUGUUAUCAAGACAUUUCAUAAAACUCCAAAACUACAGAUUUUAACAUUUUAACCCCCUCUCCCUCCCAAACCGGACCCUGAUAAUUGUGUAACUUUUAAAAUAUGUUAACCAUAAAAUACGGGGACUCUUGAACAGUUUGGGGUCAAAAUUUUGCUUUUCACUUCAGAUUUUGAGGUUUAGGUCUUAUUGCGCCGGGAUCCGUUCAAAAAUUUUGGGGUUUCCUUAGUUCCCCACCAAUUUUUAAUUUCUUUUGUAAUGUAUAUUACAGCUGUCGGCUGUUGCUACAAAGUUGGGGUAUUAUGGAGGGGAUCAAAUUGCUUCCCCUCAAAAUGAUUAAUUUUUUAGAACGGAGUAUAAUAUCUGGUACUAUGAUAUUUUUCAGUGCCUUAACUAAAUGAUUUUGUAGUUGUGAAGAGUAACAUGAUAGUGUUAUAUGAUGGAGGAAAUUGGACAAUACUUCAAGAGAUUUGUUAUAAGUGUGUAAUAUAAAAUGUCAAAUUUCUAGAGCUCUUGAUAUGAGAAAUGUGGGGAUUAUUGAAAAUCUGUAAUGUACAUAUAAAUAGGGAUGAGCUAAACGAUAAAUGACGUUAUCAUUUUUAAAGUGUGAAAUAUGAGAAUUGAGAAUAUAGUUUCCACAUACGUUGUUAACUACAUGAUUUUGUAUUUUGCUACAUAAUGACGCAAUGAUUGAUAACAUGAUAUAUUGUUGUUCUAAUUCAUACUUACUUUUAAGAUCUUGUGCUAGUUAUAUAUUUUAAGUUUUUUUGAUAAAUUUAUCUGAUCUCAAAAAUGUGGGUCUCAAUUAAACUUUUCUUUAUCGUGCA